GGUAGUCAAGCGAUUGCGAAGCGCUGUUUUGCGCAGAUAUGCGCAGAUGCUGAAUGUAUAAUUUUCUGUGUGCCUUCAACUUGUGCGUUUCGCGGUCUUUGUUAUUUUGUGUGCUCUGUAAUGAACUUUGUCGCCAUUGUACUAAGCACAGCUAUGGUGCGCACACCAUAGCUGGUGCAAGGACUGGCUGUAUGCAAUGAGCGAUUGACGUUGGCGGUUAUUGUAAUGCCUGCCAGCGAUCACUUGUGACCGCCUGUGACCAACGAGCUGUGAUAUAAUGCUUUCCUCGCUUCUUAGGCGGAGUACGUUCACCAAUUUAGCAAAAAUGAAGCUGGCGACCGCCACGCUGCCGGAUUUGAAAGCACUUGCCGGCGCUAUCAUCGAACAACACGAGACAACGCAGGGAGAGAACAAGCUCAAGACAUUUUGCAGUGCCUACAGGCAGGGUACUAAAGUGCAGAAGGCUGAAUUUUUGCAGUUUCUUGCGAAGGAAUUUUACAUUGACAGACAACAGUUUGAGGCAUCUGCCAGGAGCUACUUAGAGGACACUCAGAACGAGCCAGCAUUUCGAUUCAGAGAUGAAGAGCGCCUUGGUGCCCUACUCACGCCAAAAUAUGUGUCGUUCUUUCACAUUCUGGGAAGGAGUGAAGGUGGCGUCAAGUUUCUCGUUGACGUGAGGGGUGAUUUGCUUGAUUUAAUACUUUUGCUACAAACAGAAAACCCUUGCUUCUACGACGUUCGGCACAUGAACAUCAUUCUUAAGGAUCUCUUGGCACUGUGGUUCACAGUGGGCUUCAUCAAGUUGGAGCGCAUCACGUGGCAGUCCUCCUGUGAAAUGCUGCAAAAGAUAUCAGAAUAUGAGGCUGUUCAUCCAAUACGCAACUGGACUGACCUGAAGCGCCGUGUUGGGCCCUACCGCCGCUGCUACGUCUUCACGCACAGUUGCAUGCCUGGCGAGCCCAUUGUAGUGCUACACACUGCCUUGACCAGCUCCAUCUCCUCUUCCAUUCAGAGAAUUGUUGGCCACCGGCACAGUCCCGAGGAACCUGAGCCACCUGAGGAUUGGGAAGACGAAAAAAUCAUAAAGUGUGCCAUCUUCUACUCGAUCUCGUCAACUCAGAAAGGUCUGCAAGGUAUCGAGCUUGGGAAGUAUCUCAUCCAUAGUGUAGUGAAGAAGGUCAAGGCCGAGUUUCCCAAUGUGAAUGAGUUCUCAUCUCUCUCACCGAUCCCUGGCUUUAAGGAGUGGAUCAUGUCAGAAAUUAACAAGAUUCUCAGAGCCGCGAUGGCUCAGUGGCUAUGGUGUUCUGUUGCUAAGCAUAAGAUUGCUGGUUUGAUUUGCAGCCACUGUGGCUACACUUCGAUGGAAGCAGAAAGCAAACAUGCUCGUGUACUGAAGUUUAGAAGCAAGGUAACGCCGAGGCAAGCAAGCUCUUCAAUCGUCAACAGCUGGAGGCCGCUGUGCAGCCAUACAGCGAAAAUAGGCGUCCACUGGAUGCGCUUCUGAUGUUGUUGCGCAACAACGGCUGGUUCCACAUUCCCGAACUGGUCGCCCAGCUUCAGGAGCCUCUGAUGCACCUUUGUGCAAUAUAUCUCUACCACGAGAAGCGGCGCGGUUAUGCUCUCAACAACGUUGCCAACUUUCACCUGAAAAAUGGUGCUGUGAUCUGGAGGCUAAACUGGCUGGGCGACGUUUCUCCCCGUGGGCUCUCAUCAUCUUGCUCCAUUAUGGUGAAUUACAGGUAUUACUUAGAGGACAUGGAAGACUACAGACAUGCCUAUGUGGAGAAUGGAACCAUCACAACUUCUGACAUGUUCAUGCAACAUCUGAAGCCUCUUCACUCCUUGCUGUGAAGUUGUUUAGUAUCUGUGUCUGGUGAAAAUGACACUUGAGUGGUAUUGCCUCCAUUAUGGCAGCUCUCACCAAUUGACUUUUGUGAGUUCGGUAUGCUUGUUAUAUAGCGACGACUUUGUUGGAGUGUCAAGAGCAGUGGAAUUGCUACAAUAUGAUUGUUUUUGCUGGCAAAGGUUGAUGGUAGAGGAUGACAUCAGAAUUGAAUGGCCAAUGAGAACAUUAGUGAGUUUAUUUUCACUAAUCAAAUUUUAAUUGUUUAUGGUUCAGAAAGGCACACAUACAAAACAAGUACACAAGAAUGAGAAGGACAGCACAAACACUGUGCUCUCUAAGCUAACCUUUCUGUGCCAUAAAUCCUUACCAAGUUGCUCUGGUUUCAACCAAUUUAUUAAUUUUGUUCUGCUUAUUUCAGUUGCGAAAUUCAAGCCUGUCAUUGCUCAAGCCAGACACAUACAGGUCCUGAGACUAGCACCAAUUUCAAGACAGCCAUCCAAAAACUUGCAGCGAAAUGCAUUGGUGUUGUACUUUAUAUUUUCUCACAAAGCCUUUCUUGUGCAGUGUGAAACAAAGCUGCGUGGCGCACCACUGCCUUUCGUCGCCAAUUUUGUGGACGAAUGUCCCGAAACUGUGCUAUCAUCAGAAUUCCUGCUAACUGUACAUGUCUUGACACUCUUCAUCACUGACUGGCUUUAAUUCCACAUUUACAAUAUGCAUGCUGAUGUUACUGAUUAGAAAUAGUUAGUGGAAGUAUUUAAAUAAGGAGCGUACUGGAAGUUAUCACAAAAUUUUAGGUGUCUACUGCUGCUGUGAAUUUAGGCCAGUAAAAAUUAUCAUUUUAUGUCAGGGGUCUUAAACUCAAGACAGUCUUCACUGAACCACCUCAUACUUCACUGGCAGCUGUUCUUGAGCAUACCACCUGGCUCUAGCAAAACCUUGCAAUUCUCAUUCCUAUAGUUCAAGAGGCACAAAAGGAAAGCAUUAAGUUGGGUUGAUCAAUUAUAAUUCUAAAAUCGCAGACAGGUGGCUUUUACUGAUACUGCUUGCUGCAGAAUGGAGAUUGGGAAUGCCAGAAAAUGACAAAGUGAAAUACAGUGGUAUUGCCUGCACUACGUAGUGAUGGAAGCUUUCAACAAGUGCUAUAGUAAAAUUUUUCACCAAGGCUGAGGUAAUUUGAUGACGGUAGUUUGUGAGCUACUGCUUUUCUUCUUUCGAAUUCCUGGAGCAGCUCGUUACGUGUUAACAAAUUGUAGGAGCACCUGGUCGAUUUUAGACAAGCAUUGUUUAUAUAUAUAUAUGAAGAAAGAGAUAACUAUUUUAACAUAAGACAUAGGCAAGAACUCAGCAUGACAACUUUGUACAACUUUUCUUUUUUUUUUUUUUUAUUGCACGAAAGCAACAUCUUUGACGUCACAUAACAACAUCAUCACCAUUGCAGUUUGGGCCUUAAAUGUAAUAAUGGAAGGUCAUCCCUGCUUUGCCCCUCUAAUGAGUCAUAUUUUGUCACUGAACCAGGGCAGGCACAAAGCUAAAGAAAAAUGAAAUAUAAAAGUAAUCUAUCAGCCUGGCCUAAUUUAGCACUUCCGAUUUUGUGUUCUUUUAAACUGUUAUAGCCCAGUGGUUGUGCAAUAGCUGACUGUAGCCAAGUUAGCAUCAGUCAUUAUGGUGUUUUCACUUAGGAAGUAUUCUUUUAACACAACUUUUUCAGAUGUGAGCAAAACUCACCUGUUCAUAAGAAACAAGCCAGGCAACGAUUUAUGCUUGACCAUGUCAAAAGCAAUGUUCAUUAUGUUACGAGGUUAAAAAAAGAAAGUCCUCUGUGUAUAAAUGAUGUCGUUUUUGUUUCCUCA
rnacentral:misc_RNA from 1 species